rnacentral:tRNA from 1 species
GCCGGAGUGGUGGAACUGGUAGACGCGCCGGACUCAAAAUCCGGUACCGAAAGGUGUGCGGGUUCGAUUCCCGCCUCCGGCACCA